rnacentral:rRNA from 1 species
AAUAGAUACCCAGGUAGUCCACGCCGUAAACGAUGGAUACUAGCUGUUGGAGGUAUCGACCCCUUCAGUAGCGAAGCUAACGCGUUAAGUAUCCCGCCUGUGGAGUACGGUCGCAAGACUAAAACAUAAAGGAAUUGACGGGGACCCGCACAAGCGGUGGAUCGUGUUCUUUAAUUCGAUGAUAAACGAAGAACCUUACCAGGGCUUGACAUCCCAAGAAGGCUUCCGAAAGGAAACUGUGCCGUAAGGAACUUGGUGACAGAUGAUGCAUGGCCGUCGUCAGCUCGUGUCGUGAGAUGUUUGGUUAAGUCCAUUAACGAGCGCAACCCUUGUGAAUAGUUGUAUUUUCUAUUCAGACUGCCCCGGUAACGGGGAGGAAGGAGGGGAUGAGGUCAGGUCUGUAUUUCUCUUACGUCCUGGGCUAGAAACACGAUACAAUGGCUAGUACAAUGCGCAGCGAAGCCGCGAGGUGGAGCAAAUCGCAUCAAAGCUAGUCCCAGUUCGGAUAAGAGGCUGAAACUCGCCUCUUUGAAGUCGGAAUCG